CUGGACAGUAAACAAAGAAAGAAUUCAGAAGUAGAUGGACUUUGGUGGUAUUCAAAAUUCUGGGAUACUGCACAUACCUACCAUUUUCCUUCUGACUUGAUCAGGAUUUUCAAAUUCACAUGUUGCCUCAUCUGUUCUCUCUACCAGUAUUUCUUCAGGGAAGAACACAGAACUCAUUCUUCUCAUAGCCUGUCUGCACUGACCAGGGAUUGUAGCAACUGCAACCUGCCUGAAUUUCCUGCUGCUGACAAGGGGAGUCAAGUCAAUCCAAGCCUCUUAGAAGGGGUAGAGAAAAAGUCCCAGAAAGAGGGUCAAGCUGAAAAAAAUACUUGAAGAAAUAACAACUGAAAACUUCCUAAAUUUGGCAAAGGACAUAAACCUACAGAUUUAAGAAGGCGCAAAACCCUUUCCUGAAUAAUUGUGACAAAGUAAUCUUUUGAAAAAGAGAGAGUUGAAAAAGAAUCUUCAAAAGGAGACAGUGAUGAUGAAGGCGC
rnacentral:lncRNA from 1 species